CCUUGCUCGGUCGACCGAUUUGCUGAUAAGGCUUUGUUCUAAAAAUCACAGUGAAUUUUGAUAGAUGGAACAGGUUUAUCAGUCACUCUGAUCGUUUUUUGUAGUUUUGAUCCUCCUUCAGUUUACUUUUUGAUGGCCUUUAUUUCAGUACCUGCAGCUCCUGGAGUUUUUCUCUUGACCGAGGCCGGUUUGGCUCCCUGAUACCCAUAACCAAAAGGUUGGACACCCCGGCGAGUCACAAGAAGUUUGUGUCUCAAUCCUGCUGAGAGAAACACAUCCUGACACCACCGCUGUCCUUUUUCCAACAAGAGAACGUUCUGCUGCAGCUUCGUCCUCUUCUCAGGAUCAGCUCUUUCAAACGUUUUCAUGCACUCCCGGCCCUCUGUGCCCGGCAAACCCAGGGUGCGGUUCUCCAGGCAGUAAUCAGGAGAGUCUUCAAGGUGGACCAGCUCCUUGCGGGAGAUGGAGCUGAAGGUCUCUGCGAUAGCUCCUCGACUGGCUGCACUGUUCCCUGCUCCUCGUAGGAGGUCCACUUUCAGCGCCCGGUGGUAUUUCUCCUUAAGCCACAGUUGUCAAAGUCUCCCAGACUGCAGUUCCUGGUCAGGGUGUACAUGACCCCAGCAGAGCUGAUGGCGUGGACAAACGCAGCUUCUCGAUU